AAAUACAACAGAACAGAAGCUGGAUAAGAGACCGAGAAUAGCACAAAAGCAAAUGAGGCAAUAGCCUCACUCCUAACUACAAGUAGCCCCUGGAAGACCAUCAUUCCUUAAAACAGAAAUCAAAGAGGUUGGAGGCCUGUUGGCCCAAUCCUGAGAGCACAACCUCAACUUAGCAAGCUUCACCGCGGCGUCUGCAACACGGUUUGCUUCACGAGGGAUCCAAUUCCACUUGAUCCCGCUAAAUAAAGUUUUCAGGUGACUCCAAAUUUGGGGUGACAGAAGGGUUGUCAAGAGCAAGUAAGACCUCCUGGCAGUCUCCUUCUAAGAUGACAUUCUGGAGCUUCAAAUACGCAGCCAGCUGAAGACCUUUCACCACGGCUUCAGCUUCAGAUUUCAUUGCAGAAUUGCGAAUUUCAUGACACUAGCUCCGGCCAAAGAGUGGCCCCUGUGAUUCCUGAUAAUAACCCCGAUACCGCUAUUAUGAUUGUUCUUAUCCCAGGCUUCAUCCACGGCAGUAUUAACAUACAUUAGGAUUCCGGCAUCUAUUUUCCUCAAUGGAUGAGUCUAGUUUUCUUGGUCUAUUGCAUUCAGAUUACCGAAAAUUCAUUCUUCUUUUCUAUUGGUCUUUGUAGGAAUCCGAUGAAGAUACUGAUCCCAACAAUUAACGUUGGUGCAUUGAAGAUCAUCACCAGGAACCAACUAUUCGUAUGUCAAAAUAGAGUAUUGAAAUUUAAAAGUGGAGAUUUACUCAAGUCCAUGAAGACGAAGCACCACCACCUUACCUGCACAAGCUUGACUUUAAAAAGGGACAUCGUUGUGCUAUAUAUAAAUCAUAUUGCCCCCGGUGGCUUAUUGCAAUGGAGAAGUCUGGACUGAGCCCUGUACAGUUACUGGUUAAGGAAUGCUCGGUGGUUGCCUGCCAAGCCCUCCACAACAACUUAAGGUCCAGUAGUGUUAAUGUUUAAAGUUCAGCGGUAGCUAAACCUUUACUAAGGUCCAGUAGUGUUAAUGUUUAAAGUUCAGCGGUAGCUAAACCUUUACUAAUGCUGGUCCGAUGGGCGAACCGCUAUCAACGAUACUCAGAGUUUCCGCUACCUGUCAAGUAAAAUACAGAGGGCGUCAGAGGGAGACCGCGCUGGGCGGUCUUCUCUUCUCCGAUGCCUAAGUUAGUCAAUGUAUUUGUGUUGACAAAGUGACAGUAGCUUUUGAAGCUACUGAUGCCAACUUGGCGUGGCUGCGCGUCAGCAGCGAUCUGGAGGCGAGCCGGGGCUCAGGCAAUAACCUGUUUGGCUGUGUUUCUGUGGGUCACUCCUUUGGCGGGAGUUGGUACCGCUAGUGGUAGCAUGAGCGUGGCUCAUUAUAGCUAAUUAUGCUUGUGAAUGCCUAUAUUUGGGUUUAUGGGAACAAUUUUGAGUCGUUUCUUGCUGCUGUGGUGGUUUUGGAGGACAGGACAGCUAGCUGAACAUCAUUUCAUCAAUGACUGUGGAUCAUUGUGUCAAACUCGGAGGGCAAAAUAUGAACUUUGGGUGAGUUUGAGAGGAUACAUGCAAGAUUGGCUGUCCCACUGUCUGUGCGGCUGCUGAAAUUACCGAGUGAAUCUCAGCCCUCACAAUUUUGAAAUGGGAUUCUUUUCUGUGUGAGUCAUGUUCCAUUGUUCCUCGAUCCAUAAAUUUUUCUCAGCCCCAAUUUUGAUAUGGAAAGUUGGAAACCGUCAAUAUACGGAGUGAACUCGGAGACAUGCCUCAAACCUUUUUUCUUUUCGGGCACCAGAUCUUAAAAUGGACACCCGCCACAAAAGCCCAAAUUUGGCAAGGACACCCGAGAAAAGUUUGUCGGAGGCCCAAAACUGAAAAAGAUCCUCUCGGAGUAUUGGCCGCCUAGGAGCGUCCUUCUUCACUUCGGGUGUCUGGAUUUGCUGCUGCAUUUUAUCGAACAAGUGGUGUGCCUUAUUGUUCUUCAAUAGCCAAAAAAGGCGAUCACACUUAAAGCUUAGUUGGUUCUUGUUUUUUCUUUGCACGUGCCAUUGAAGGGAAAGCACCUCGCAUUUCAUCGCGGUCUGGUGCUAACGCAGUUGAGUUCAUCAUCAACCACGCUGAAGUUUCAAUAGCUUUUGUUCAAGAGAGCAAAAUCCCUGCUAUUUUAUCAUGCUUCCAAACUGUUCUGCGCAUUUAAAAACAAUUGUCAGCUUCGCAAAUGUUUCUAGCACUCAAAGACAGAAGAACUGGGGGUAUUCUGGCUUUUCGUGCGAGGAAUUCUCUCAGUUGAAAAAUUCAGAUUGUGAAGUACCUCCAAAACAUAGGACUGCUAUUGCAGAAUAAUGUAUACACGUGGAACAAUUGGAGAACUGAAAGCUGUAAUUGUUACUAAUGCAGCAUUAAUGUCAGAGGUUUUCUCAACAGACCAUAUACCUUUCCUAACAGAUAAGUGUGGUAAACAACUUAAAACAGUUGAAAUUUCAAUAUUCUAGCUUUUUAACAUAUUCUAUCUUCAUGGUGCUGAAUUAGUGCUUAUUCUGCCUCUUCAAAAGAAAAAAUUGUCGCAGAAUAGCUCCUGCAACUUGGCAUGAGUUGUUUGGGGUGCAAUCUGGUGAUGGAUUUCACCAGGUCCUGUACCUAUGUUUGGUCUAUUGGACAAUUUUAAAGCAUAAAUGUACCUCAUUUUAUGUCAGAGGCAAAUAAACUAGCAGAGACCAUUUUGGUCAUGGAGAUUUAGUAGUUUUGUAACUGAAAAGGCCAAUACAUGGCUAUUUUCAUUUCGAAUGAUGUAGCAUUAUCAAUAUGAAAUUAUUUCAUAAUUCUGAAAUGAAACUUUCAAUCCUUAAUCUGUUUCAUACAUAUAUGCUCUGCCUGUUUAAAAUGCUAGUUUUGCCAAGACAAAAAUUUAAAUCAUGAUGCAACCCAAUUUAGCAAGCAGUUAUAGGCUAUUGUAACAUCUUCAAGAGUUGUUGUUUUUGCCAAGACAACAUGUGAGGACGUCAUUCUCCAAGACGGUUUUGUCUAGGGAUAAAAAAUUUCAGCUCGCAACAAGCUUGUUAAACCAAUUGGUUGCUUUCUAUUUGGUGAUGUUAGUGGUGUUAACUGUGUCAGUAUGAUUCAAGCUGGGGGUUGUACCAUCCCUCAAAUAGGAGAAAAUUAUACUCUCAUUUUGGCAGAUGGAUCCCAAAUUAGAUUAAAUUAUACUGAAAUCUUUGUGGUUUUGCCAUCAAAUUACAGAUUUUCUACAAACUAGUUUAACUGAGGUUACUAAUACAAUUUUGGGUGAAGUCAUCCUGUGAAAGCAGAUUUAUUUUAUAGUUUAUAUAUUUUUUUUCCAAAGUAACUUCAUUGAAGUAUUACCAAUAUUUGGUUAUACAGUUGUAUUUGCCUCAAUAUGAAUUUGUGUUUGUUGGUAUCGUUUCCUUUGGUAGAAAUAUCCUCAUUUUUGCUUCAUUAGUUUCAGAGGUAAUAACAGACAUUUGUAGCAAAACAGAGGACUGACAUCUGAACAAUUAUGCUAUUGCAAGACUACUGGAAAUUUAUCAUCCCAAACAGUCAACCGACUGCAAAGUAAUAUAUACUGAUGCACAACUGGAGAAUGAAAAGCUGUAAUUAGUACUAAUGCAGCAAUGUUAAUAAAGCAUUGUCUAUGGACCAAUGUGACGAAUACAGAUUUUAUCAUGCUUUCCAAACUGUUCUGCGCAUUUAAAAGCAAUUGCCAACUUCACAAAUGUUUCUAGCACUCAAAGACAGAAGAACUGGGGGUAUCUUGCUUUUUGUGGGGGGAAUUCUCUCAGUUGAUAAUUUCUUAACACUGUUUAUCUCAUUGGUUUCAGAGAUAAGAACAGACAUUUGUAGCAAAACAGACAUCUGAACAAUUAUGCUAUUGCAAUACUACUGGAAAGUUAUCAUCCCAAACAGUGGACCGACUGCAAAGUGAUAUAUACUGAUGCAGAACUGGAGAAUCAAAAGCUGUAAUUAGUACAAAUGCAGCAAUGUUGGUAAAGCAUUGUCUCUGGAUCAAUGUGACGAAUACACAGGUUACAUUUCACUUUCUCCUUUUUUCUUGAUAUCUUUGGAGUUUCAAAGUUAGUUUCUUAAAAAUAAUAUCAACUCUCUUUGGCAUUCUCCAUUUGUGUGGAUAUAGUAGUUGAACUAGUUUUCCAAGCCUGGUUUCAUGUAACUAAUACUUGAAAAAUUGCAUUAUAGAAAGCGAUAUUAAAUUUGUUUUCGAAGUUUGAUCUAGUGCACUAGUCAACCAAAGAAGAGAGGGUGGGGGAGGAUUUGGUCAUGUAAAACAUAGAUUUGUCAGGUGUUUGGAGCUAUGUGAUCCAUAGUCAUGAGGGCUUGCUCUCUACGGGCGUCCAUCCUUCUCUGGUUGCGAUUUGCUUCUCCCGUCUUUGGUGGUUCUGCUUCCCUUUUUGUGUUUGAGUUGUAUUUUUGGCUUAUGAUUUUCGUGGACUACAUGUAGUCAACACCCAGGAGAUGACUGAGAGGGCACCACCUCGGUGAUCUGGACUACGUGAAGGAGCCCCUAACCCUUUUUCACUGAUUUCCUAGCUCUUUUAUUCGCACACUCAUAAUCAGAGUGAUUUUGUCCCUAACCAGCUUAGAAUACCACCUUUCCUUUUAAUGGGUUCUUCCCCCGUUUUCGUUUUACUAUCUUCCAUUACAAUCUUCCUGCUAUGCCAUCUCAGCAGAAAAGCCCAUCUAGGGAUUUGCAACCUCCGCUGCCACAGCCACAACUAGCUUCAAAUUUAUCAAGCCGAUAAGCAUCCAUUCUCUAUAAGUUGUAUUAGACAUUUACAAGAUCAGAUGUAUCACCUGGAAGUGUCUCCUCUUACAAAUAUGUAGAACAAGAAAGAGGCUGGGAAAGUGUUCUUUUACUGCAUCAGGCCACAGUUUGUGUCUCCUCUUACAAAUAUGUAGAACAAGAAAAAGGCUGGGAAAGUGUUCUUUUACUGCAUCAGGCCACAGUUUGUGACGGCUACCUUGGUGUAAGGGCGGUUGAAUCCUCUGUCUGCCACAACAGCUCUCUUAUCUCCUGUCUGCAUGAUUGGCUAAGACCUUCAGAAGCUGUGUUCUUUCAGAUUAGGAAGCUUUGUCAUGUUUCGAAAAAAGAUGGGGAGAGAGAGAUGUCAUGGUUAGAAGAAGAGGAAGAGGAAGAAGUUUGUUUUCCAUCAUCCGUCAUAGCUUCAAUUUGGUUGAAUAAAUUAUAAAAUACAAUAAAAAGCAUUAGUUCCUCUGAUUUCCUGAGUCCUUGAUGCUUUGUUUUUUGUUGAAACCUGGAGAUUGAGUACCUUAUUAUGAGAGUUGCUAGGUCUGAAGACCACUAAA